rnacentral:rRNA from 1 species
UACGAAGGGGGCUAGCGUUGCUCGGAAUCACUGGGCGUAAAGGGCGCGUAGGCGGACAUUUAAGUCAGGGGUGAAAUCCCGAGGCUCAACCUCGGAACUGCCCUUGAUACUGGGUGUCUUGAGUUCGAGAGAGGUUGGUGGAACUGCGAGUGUAGAGGUGAAAUUCGUAGAUAUUCGCAAGAACACCGGUGGCGAAGGCGGCCAACUGGCUCGACACUGACGCUGAGGCGCGAAAGCGUGGGGAGCAAACAGG